AUUGAACGCUGGCGGCAUGCCUUACACAUGCAAGUCGAACGGCAGCACGGGAGCAAUCCUGGUGGCGAGUGGCGAACGGGUGAGUAAUAUAUCGGAACGUGCCCAGUCGUGGGGGAUAACGUAGCGAAAGCUACGCUAAUACCGCAUACGAUCUAUGGAUGAAAGCGGGGGAUCGCAAGACCUCGCGCGAUUGGAGCGGCCGAUAUCAGAUUAGGUAGUUGGUGAGGUAAAGGCUCGCCAAGCCGACGAUCUGUAGCUGGUCUGAGAGGACGACCAGCCACACUGGGACUGAGACACGGCCCAGACUCCUACGGGAGGCAGCAGUGGGGAAUUUUUGGACAAUGGGCGCAAGCCUGAUCCAGCAAUGCCGCGUGCAGGAUGAAGGCCUC
rnacentral:rRNA from 1 species